rnacentral:rRNA from 1 species
GACGAACCGUCCAAACGUUAUUCGGAAUUACUGGGCUUAAAGGGUGCGUAGGCGGCGCGGUAAGUUGGGUGUGAAAUCCCUCGGCUCAACCGAGGAAUAGCGCCCAAAACUACCGUGCUCGAGGGAGACAGAGGUGAGCGGAACUGAUGGUGGAGCGGUGAAAUGCGUUGAUAUCAUCAGGAACACCGGUGGCGAAAGCGGCUCACUGGGUCUCUUCUGACGCUGAGGCACGAAAGCUAGGGGAGCGAAC